rnacentral:rRNA from 1 species
GACGUAGGGCGCAAGCGUUGUCCGGAUUUAUUGGGCGUAAAGAGCGUGUAGGCGGCCACUUAAGUCCUGCGUGAAAUCCUGCGGCUCAACCGCAGGCGGUCGUGGGAAACUGGGUGGCUAGAGUGCGGGAGAGGAGAGUGGAAUUCCUGGUGUAGCGGUGGAAUGCGCAGAUAUCAGGAGGAACACCGGUGGCGAAGGCGGGAUCCUGGGCCAGUACUGACGCUGAGGAGCGAAAGCGUGGGGAGCAAACAGG